rnacentral:rRNA from 1 species
UACGAGAGGUCCAAACGUUAUUCGGAAUUACUGGGCUUACAGAGUUCGUAGGCGGCUCUACAAGUGAGGUGUGAAAGCCCUCGGCUCAACCGAGGAACAGCGCUUCAAACUGUAGAACUAGAGGGAGAUAGAGGUGAGCAGAACUGAUGGUGGAGCGGUGAAAUGCGUUGAUAUCAUCAGGAAUACCGGAGGCGAAGGCGGCUCACUGGGUCUCUUCUGACGCUGAGGAACGAAAGCUAGGGGAGCAAACGGG